UAACGUUCAAAAUUAAUUAUUUUCUAUAAAUAUAUAUUAUCAACAAACACAAAAAAAUAUAAAAUUACUUAAUACUAUAAUCUGUAACAAUUUGGAUCGUUUAAUGAACUUUUUGUUGUUAAUUUAACCUGUAAAUUAAUCUCAUAAUUUAAAGAGACAACAAACGCUAUCUCUACAUAAUUUCUUUGAACUUAAAUCUUUCACCUGUCGGUAAAUUAUCUAUUGUUGAUAACAAUUUGUAUUGCAUAAUGUUGUACAACAUUUAAAUAUUCGCAUGUAACUGCAAUUGCAUAAAAGCAAUUCUCCAUUAAAAUGCAUUGAAAUUUAAUGUUAAAAUAAUUGCGAGAAAUAUUAAUAAUGCUGCGACAUCUAGCGGCAUUACCUCGAAUUAUCGUGGUAUAUGCAUGCUGACAUAGUGCAGUUUUAUGGCAUUACCGUGUUGGAUAUCAAAUAUAUUUUAAUGAAAUCAAGUUUAAAUACUUGUACAUAAAUAAAUUGAGAUAUAAAUAUAAACACUAAAUCAAUAUAAAAUAUGAUAACCCGUACAAGAAAGAAGAAGGAAUAUUAUUAUGAUAAAUUUCAUCGGGGAUUUGUUAAUGUAUGCAUGACAAUAACAGUAGUGACUGGAGCAAUGUUAUUAUAUUCAGCUGCUAGGUAUUUCAUGUAUACCCUACCA
rnacentral:lncRNA from 1 species